AGAGCGAACGCUGGCGGCAGGCCUAAUACAUGCAAGUCGAGCGGCCACUUCGGUGGCAGCGGCGGACGGGUGAGUAACGCGUGGGAAUGUGCCCUUUGGUACGGAACAACUGAGGGAAACUUCAGCUAAUACCGUAUGUGCCCUUCGGGGGAAAGAUUUAUUGCCAUUGGAGCAGCCCGCGUUGGAUUAGCUAGUUGGUGGGGUAAAGGCCCACCAAGGCGACGAUCCAUAGCUGGUCUGAGAGGAUGAUCAGCCACACUGGGACUGAGACACGGCCCAGACUCCUACGGGAGGCAGCAGUAGGGAAUCUUGCGCAAUGGGCGAAAGCCUGACGCAGCAUGCCGCGUGAAUGAUGAAGGUCUUAGGAUUAGUAAAAUUCUUUCACCGGGAAGAUAAUGACGGUACCGAGAAGAACGCCCGACUAACUUCGCGCCAGCAGCCGC
rnacentral:rRNA from 1 species